CCCGCACUCACGCAGCAACCCACGCCUUGUUGCCCAUCUUCCCCACCACGACCACGGGCGCCCCAGCAACCCCACCCCUUCCCACUCCCGCGGCACGCCACCACUCCACCCCUCCGGCGCGCCACCACCCUACACCUCCGGCGCGCCACCACCUCCCAGCCCCGCGGCGCUCCACCACCCCACCCCUCCGGCGCGCCCCCAACUCCGGUGCACCCCCGCGGCGAUGGCGGGAUCCGGCCGCCACUGGCCCCCGGCGAGGCCUGCUCCACCGGAUCCGGCGGCCACCGCCCCCCUACGACCACUACCGGAGCUCCUCCCCGCGAUCCUCCUCCGCCUCCCUCUCCCGCACCUGCCCGGCCUCCCACCGCCGCCCUCACCUCCCCUCCAGUGGAUGUGGACAUCGGCGACCAUCGCAUCUGGCCUGCACCGCGCCUGUAGCCACUGGAUCAAUGGAUCCCCCAUGCGUGUGUUCCCCAGUCAGCCCCACCUCGCCGACCCUACUUCCUUCUUCGCUGGCGCCGGCGCCCUGGCCCUGCCCGAGCCCACUUCUUUCUCUCCCCUACCCCGUGGUUUGGAUCCCGUGUUGCGGCCCCUACACCGACGCCAUCUCCUCCAGCCAACUCCCAUCCCCUAGCGCUCACCUCCCACCUUGGGGGGUCACUGGAUCGGGAUCCAGGCCGGGGGCUUCCCCCAACUAUGCAACGCCGCCAGAUCAGCCUCCCCGCGCCCCCGAGAUUCCAGAUAGGGCCUCCCCCCAAGGAAUUGUUGCGGGAUCCACAACCCCCCACCGGUGAGCCGGCCCUCUGCCCACCUCCGCAGCUGGAGCAGCACGGCCGUGCUGGUGCAGUGCAUCGCGACUCCGCGUGCAGUACAGUGGUAUGCUUGUGGGUGUGAAGCAGUGUGCUCGGUUGCCGCUCCCCCGUGUAGCUCGCUUGCCGCCCCCGUGCAGCUCACCUACGGCGAGCAGUAUGUUUGUGGGUGUGAAGCAGUGCGCUCGGUUGCCACUACCCGUGCAGCUCACCUCCGGCGAGCAGUAUGCUUGUGGGUGUGAAGCAGUGCGCUCGUUUGCUCAAGGGGGAAAGUGCUAGAGGAUAAAGAAGGAGCGUGUGGUUGAGAAAAAGUGCCCGAGUGGCAUUUUAUUUUGAGUUUAAAAUUUAUUGGGGGAAGUUGGUCUUGCAGUACACUAUUUUGAUUUUUUUGCCGUUGAAAUAUCUUCAGUGUCCUGCAGUUUGCUAUGCGAUGGGUUUAGUUAACCCGUUUCUUUUAUAGUUAGAAAAUAAAUUAAAGAAAUCAGCUCCUUUUCCUGAUGCAGGGUUACAUUGUAUCAUGCAGUACUCUUGGGCUCCUAAUGCGGUUCAGUUGCAGCGAUGCUGCAGUGCGGCCGCUCUCUCUGCUGCCAGAUCUACGACCGUUGCUCGACGUGAGCACCUCGGGCGCAUCACGAGCCGUUCAUUUGGGCGCAACAUUGCAGUCCGCAUGGGUCGUCGCUGUGCUGCAGCUGGGUGUGCAGUCCACCGGUGAGGGUGCUUGCAGUGUCUUGAACAAAUUUGUUAGCAGAGAGACACAAAAAAUGUAGUCCAGUCCAUUUGUGUAGCAGCCCAUUACCACUCUUUAUGAAGUGCAAUUUGUUUCGUGUGUCUCAAAAUUCAGUCGACUACAUGAUCACUUGUAGUGUGUUUGGUCCUAGGAUGUGGUUUACUUUUAAAAGUGAUGUUGUUCACUUGCGCUCAACAUGAAAGUGCAUUUUUUUGUAAAACGAAACAACUCGAUAGCAAUGAGGUUCACUUCGCCA